CCCAUGAGAGCCUGUGCGUGGUAAGUAAUAGGGGUGAGCAGAAUGGUAGUCGGGCACACAAUCCAGGCUCCUCUCGGGAUCAACUCAGGACUGUGAGAGGCAAAUUUGCUCAUCUCCAACUCAGCAAAGCUUUGAUCUCUGUUCGCCACUGCCUCACGAACUCUUUGGCCUACAGGAAAGCAAUUAUCAAGGACACUCCCUCUUCAUCCCCAGAUUCUCUCGAGGAAUCCCUUGCUGCUGGGCCUGGUGAGGGAUUGUUGUUUCAGCACAUGCUUGGGAUCAACUCCGUUUGUAGGAACCUGUUUUGAGUUGACAUAGGGUUGUCGAGUGGCUGUGCCAGCCAACACUGCUCCUGAAGUUUUGGAAAUCUGACAUGGCACUGAUGUCUGGGUUCUCUUGAAAGAGAAGGAGAGAAGCAGAAGGCGCCAUUGCAAGCAUCCCACCAACUGUUGGGAAAGGAUGGGAAAGCUGGCAUCAAUCGGUUUGUUGCGGUAGCCCAUGGAUAAAACUGUAAUCCAUGGAUAGAUGUAUGACAUUAUAGUCAGCAUUCCAGAAUCAAUCCUAAGAUAAAUUUGUUUAGUAUGAUCAUGUUAAACUAACAAAAUUCACCUACAUUGUCUGGAGUUCAGUCAAGCCUGCAAAUGAUGGAACUGGCUGAGGAGAAAAGGAGUUGUUUCCAACGCUUCUGUUAUGCAUAUACACAUGCAUCAGGUCAACUCCAAGUUAAGAAGAAAUAUUACAUUAGUUGGAGAGCUUUCAACCCGCUUAGAUCAGGUAACGUUCCAGUAAAAGCAUUAUCAUUGAUGUGUCUGUAAAUAAAACAAAACUUGA
rnacentral:lncRNA from 1 species